AGAAGAAGCCCUCACUAACCUAGGACAGUUGUCAUUGAUCUUCAUAAAAAUGAAACAGCCCCAUGCCCCCUGAAUCAGAGGUCCGUUGAGCCACACACUGCAAUAACCUUAACUAGUAAUGACUAUAUGAAUUUUUCUACAAAUAAAAUUUUAACCAUUAGAAGAAUGGUUGGAAUACCCUGGAAUACCCUGCUUAGCAGAUUUCUUUCUCCCCAACACAUUCCAGCUCCUCCUGAGGGAUACUGAGGCUCUCACAGGUCAGAUGAGAAAUGUAAUCUCUCUGGUGGGUUCUCGUGUACCCCAUGGUUUUUACCUGGAACACAUCCACAGAGAGGUGCUCUGGAGGCACCUAACUUGAUACUACCUCCGCCUACCUUGCAGAAGCAGCGGCUCUCCUCUAAGGCUGAUCCCAGCCACCCUGCAGAAUAAGCUCAAUUCAGUUGGUUUUAUUAACAACAACACUCUCGGUAAUUACCCAGAUUUGAUGACCACUAGUAAGGGUUAUGAUGUAGAUAAACUGGUAAACUGGAAGCUUUUGUCAUGGUCCCCGUGUCUCUCUGGCUGGCUCACACUGGCUACAGGUUUUGUUUUCUUUCUUCCCCUCUCCCUCGCUCCUCUCUGCCUGGGCGGAGCUUGUUACGGGCUCUUGCUCUUGGCCCAUGCACCUGUGUGAUUGUCACCACCUGCUGCUGAUCUGGCUGAUUCCCCAGUUGCUAUUUAAGGCAGUGGCACAGAGCAGCUCGCCGCUGGAACGUUGAGUCUCCUGAGUUCGUGCUCUCGGCUUCUUUAAAGAUCUCCCCGUGUGUAUUCGCCUGUGGUACUAACUACUGUUUUCUGUGUAUAGACAUUCCUCUCCUGGACCAGAUUAUGGACCUUUCCUGUGUGGCGGCGUGAGUGGAGUUUUGGAGCGAGUGCGGCUGAAGAGAAGUGAUUGUGCGUGGAGGAGCUGUGGCGGUGACUGAGCUGAAGUGGAACCGUGUGUGUGGAUUACCCCCUUCUCCCUGGAGCCCUGGAACCCCUCCCAACUAACUGUAACUGUGUUCCAUAUUGUAAAUAAACUGUCUUCGUUUGUGCGCAAAGAACUCUGUUCUGGCUCACUUCUAUCUUCAUCACUACAGUCCGGUACAAUGCCUUCAUUACUCUGCACCAAUGUGCUGGUCCAACUCCAAAAGGUACUUUAAUGCUUCUGCUUCACUUGAGCCAACUUCUCUACCCCAACCCAUAGGAAGCAUUCGACUGUUUUCCAGCCAAUAAUCAUGGUCUCAGUCUUGGAGGUGCCAACUCUCACCCCAGUCAAUAUACACUCUCCAAGUCUACAAAGCAAAUGUAGCCUGAAUGGUCGAAGUCUCAUCAUCCUUCCAUCCAUCCUGGAAGGGUGAAGAUCUGGACCGCUGUUCCACAGCCAGGUCAGAACCUGCAUUUCUACUACUACAUCCAGUUUUCAGCUGUUGGCUGGAUCUUCUUUUCCGGUAGUCUGGAAUAAACUUUUCCCAGGUGACUGAGCAGAGCCAUGCCCCAGUAAUUGAAGCACACCCUCCGGCCCCCCUUUUCAAAAAUGGGAAUCGCAGCUCUGGUCUACCAUUCUACAGGCACCAGAUGAAUGCAAAUCAAAUAUAAACAUAAAAGAGGCAUUACAGUGUUAAUACUUACAUGCUGAUCACCUUUUUUUGCCAACCAAACGCUUCAAGCUCCCCCCUGGCCUGGCUCACGGAGAGUUGUGGUUUUGCCAAGGUUCAGCUGUGUGGCAGACCAAAUCCCUUAUACAGUUACAGACCCUGAUGAUGGCAACCUCCAAAAAAAAAAAAAGUUUCCUCAGGCCCCACGUGUGACAGUACCAGCCGCGACUGCUCUGCAGUCUGCCCCCAACAUGAUGCCCCAGCCGCCUCCUUUCGCCAACCUCCCCAGCAAAUAGUCUGUGUUCAGUGCCUUCUCUAACGACGCCUUCCAAAAACUUAUAAUCAUGGUGACAGAGCUGACCAGAGAAGUUGGGGACCUCCGUGAGGUGUUCAGAGCUUUUCGUUAAUCCUGCAGCACUGAACCUGUUGAUGCUGGGGUAUUGCCUCUGGAUUAGCCAUUUAACAACAUAGAUGAGAUGAACAACUCUGCAAUGACUGGAGGCAAAUGAAGCAAUGAUGGCCUGACUCAGCAGGUGGGGGUAAACGCUGUUUCUGAGUUUGCCUUCACCCAAGCAGAGCAGAAAUGUCUCUGCUACGCUCCAGAUCACAUGGGUGGCGCAGAAUGGUCGAUAUCCAGCCCGAUCCCGGAGUAAACUUUAAAAAAAAAAAAACAAACAAAACAAAA